rnacentral:rRNA from 1 species
CCUACGGGGGGCUGCAGUGAGGAAUAUUGGUCAAUGGGCGGAAGCCUGAACCAGCCAAGUAGCGUGCAGGAUGACGGCCCUACGGGUUGUAAACUGCUUUUAUACGGGAAUAACGCGCCUUACGUGUAGGCCUUUGCAUGUACCGUAUGAAUAAGCACCGGCUAAUUCCGUGCCAGCAGCCGCGGUAAUACGGAAGGUCCGGGCGUUAUCCGGAUUUAUUGGGUUUAAAGGGGGCGUAGGCCGCAUGUCAAGCGUGCUGUGAAAUGUCCGGGCUCAACCCGGGCCUGGCAGCGCGAACUGGCGUGCUUGAGUCCGCGGAAAGCAGGCGGAAUUCGUCGUGUAGCGGUGAAAUGCUUAGAUAUGACGAAGAACCCCGAUUGCGAAGGCAGCUUGCUGCAGCGGAACUGACGCUGAUGCUCGAAAGCGCGGGUAUCGAACAGGAUUAGAUACCCCUGUAGUC